rnacentral:rRNA from 1 species
UACAGAGGGUGCGAGCGUUAAUCGGAAUUACUGGGCGUAAAGCGCGCGUAGGCGGCUUUUGCAAGUCGAGUGUGAAAAUCCCCCAGGCUCAACCUGGGAACUGCAUUCGAGACUGCAUAGCUAGAGUAUGGGAGAGGGAAGUGGAAUUUCAGGUGUAGCGGUGAAAUGCGUAGAUAUCUGAAGGAACAUCAGUGGCGAAAAGCGACUUUUCUGGUCUGUAACUGACGCUGAGGCGCGAAAAGCGUGGGGAGCAAACAGG